CUUGGUUGCUUGGCAACAAAUGUAAACUUCGGGAUAAAAACACAUAAAGACAGAAAGCGCUUGAAAUUGGUUAUACACGGGAUUUUAUUAAAAAUUGUCAACUUGACUUGUAAAAUUCAUAAAAGGGUUUUUUGGAUGGUUCAGGUGUUGUUUGCAUAGCUCUUUGAAACAACAAUGCAACAUUAAAUUAGCUAUGCUACCUUGACUAACAGAUGAAGUCAUGAGCAUGUACACAAGAAGACACAGUCCUCAAGGACACUACGACAUUGCAGGACAAACACAUGGCAAAGUCUAUAGUCAAGCACAGCAUGGUGUUUUACCUAGUAGGAGAGCAGAUGCAAUACACCAGCCAUUUCCAAACAAGCCUGUUGGCCACAGAAGUGCUCUAAAUCCCAAGACACAAGACUCAUUUGAAAAAAACACUAUUUCAAAACAACCAAGAGAUUCUUCGUCACAACAUGAGCAUCAUUCAAAUGGCAUCAGGGAGAUCACUGGCUCACAACAUCCAAGAAGAGACUUGCGUAGACUCUCCAGUGAAGAAACGCAGAUGGCCAGAGCCAUUCAUGCAAAACAGCUCAUGCUGCAAGAUAAGCUGUGGAGAGUUGAGGAAAAAAUAAGACAAAGGAUCCAGUGGGAUAGUGUUGACACUGCUGCAGUUCAUUACCAAAAGAGUGAAGAGGAGAGGCACAUUGUGGGACAAGCAGGCAGGGCAAAAGCUCAGACAAAAACCAGGCAAAGCAGUCAAAUAUUGAUGCAAGAAAGAAGACAAGACGAUGUUAAUUACCUGAGGAAGAAACAAGGUCAAUGGGAUGAAGACAGAAUGCGAAAUGCCUAUGAAGAAGAGGGAGCCAGAUGUAGGAGAAGGGAAGUAGAAGUUACAGAGAAUACUCAGACACAAAUUAAAGGAAAUAACAGAACUAAUGUCAUCACAGCAAAUACACAAAACCUGAAUGGGGAAUGGCAGAAUGUCAAAGAGAAUACCAGAGAACAAGUGGGUGAAAAACAUAAUUACAUUUGGGAAGAAGCAGGUGUGAGGCCUGAUGCAACAGAGAAAGUAAAAGAAAAGCAACAAAAUAAGAGCUUCAUAGAUAAUAUAGGUUGGACAAGAGGAAAUAAAAGUAUGCAAAGAACCGAUAAGCAGAUGUACAGUUCUGAUAAUGAACAGAAUAUGUCUCAAAUGAGUCAGCAGAACACUGCUCACAAAAUGGGAAUAGGAAACCCCCGGGGUGCAGAACACAAAACAUCUGGGAAAACAACUCUUCCAUCAGUUUCUAAUCCCUCAUAUUCUACCAGACCACAUCAGAGAGAGCUGAAACACAUGGAUGGUGCAGAUGUCAGCUUCCAGCUUCUCCCUUGCAGCAUCUGUAACAGAAAGUUUGCAAGUGAAAGAUUGGAGAAGCAUAUCCAAGUCUGUAAAAAAGUGAACCAGUCGAGUCGCCAAGUAUUCAAUUCCUAUAUUAAUAGGACUAAGGGAUCUGCCAUAGAGGAGUUCUGGAAAACCCACAGCAGAAGUAAGAGUCCAGAGGUUUUACAGAAGAACCACAGACAGAACCACAAAGCAAACACAAAGAAUCUCCAAAAGGGUAGACUCCCAGCUGGCACCUCAAAACAAAAACGGUCGAAGUGA
ensembl:lncRNA zinc finger C2HC-type containing 1C